rnacentral:rRNA from 1 species
AACAGGAUUAGAUACCCUGGUAGUCCACGCCCUAAACGAUGUCUACUAGUUGUCGGGUUUUAAUUAACUUGGUAACGCAGCUAACGCGUGAAGUAGACCGCCUGGGGAGUACGGUCGCAAGAUUAAAACUCAAAGGAAUUGACGGGGACCCGCACAAGCGGUGGAUGAUGUGGAUUAAUUCGAUGCAACGCGAAAAACCUUACCUACCCUUGACAUGUCAGGAACCUCGGAGAGAUCUGAGGGUGCUCGAAAGAGAGCCUGAACACAGGUGCUGCAUGGCUGUCGUCAGCUCGUGUCGUGAGGUGUUGGGUUAAGUCCCGCAACGAGCGCAACCCUUGUCAUUAGUUGCUACGAAAGGGCACUCUAAUGAGACUGCCGGUGACAAACCGGAGGAAGGUGGGGAUGACGUCAAGUCCUCAUGGCCCUUAUGGGUAGGGCUUCACACGUCAUACAAUGGUACAUACAGAGGGCCGCCAACCCGCGAGGGGGAGCUAAUCCCAGAAAGUGUAUCGUAGUCCGGAUUGUAGUCUGCAACUCGACUACAUGAAGUUGGAAUCGCUAGUAAUCGCGGAUCAGCAUGUCGCGGUGAAUACGUUCCCGGGUCUUGUACACACCGCCCGUCACACCAUGGGAGCGGGUUUUACCAGAAGUAGGUAGCUUAACCGCAAGGAGGGCGCUUACCACGGUAGGAUUCGUGACUGGGGUGAAGUCGUAACAAGGUAACC